rnacentral:lncRNA from 1 species
UUUGGUUCAAUUACAUCAAGUUUGUGUUCUAUUUCAUUAGGUUCUUUGUUUUAUGGGUUAUUGACUUAGGAACCAUUGGUUUGGAACAAUCCGUUUGGACCAAUUUUGUGGAGUUUAUAUGUUUCCAGAUUUUGCUAUGCUACUAGGAGGAUUGAAGAAGAACCGAAGCAUGUAACCGUAAAAGAAAUGAAGAACGUAAAGUCAAUUUCUUUCCCUAUUAGAUAUACAUGAAACAUUUAGACCUAAUUUUAUGGAGUUUAUUGGUUCCCCACAUUUACAAUAUCUACCACGGCUCUAUCGCAAGUGCUGGAGCCGGCAACAAGCGUUUUUGAUCUUGUAUAAGCAUCUGCUUUGAAAGAGAAACUUCAAGCCCUUAGAUCAUCAGGUAUUUUAGCAAAACAUCAAGUAAGCAAUUGACGUUGGUGAUGCAAGCGUAUCCAUGUUCCUCACUCUUGUCGCACCAAAUGACACCCACAGCAUCUCGUGUUCGGUUGUAACAAUUGUG